GGGAUGCAUGGGCGCAGCCUGAUGCAGCCAUGCCGCGUGUGUGAAGAAGGCCUUAGGGUUGUAAAGCACUUUCAGCGAGGAGGAAGGCAUCAUACUUAAUACGUGUGGUGAUUGACGUUACUCGCAGAAGAAGCACCGGCUAACUCCGUGCCAGCAGCCGCGGUAAUACGA
rnacentral:rRNA from 1 species